rnacentral:rRNA from 1 species
UGGCGGACGGGUGAGUAACACGUGGGCAACCUGCCCAAAAGAGGGGGAUAACACUUGGAAACAGGUGCUAAUACCGCAUAACCAUAGUUACCGCAUGGUAACUAUGUAAAAGGUGGCUAUGCUACCGCUUUUGGAUGGGCCCGCGGCGCAUUAGCUAGUUGGUGGGGUAAAGGCUUACCAAGGCAAUGAUGCGUAGCCGAACUGAGAGGUUGAUCGGCCACAUUGGGACUGAGACACGGCCCAAACUCCUACGGAAGGCAGCAG